AAUAUAUUUGUCAGCGACAGAAUUGGAGAUCAGGUGACAAAAAUCGUUGGAAGCGCCCUCCCAAAGACACAGCACAGACCAAUAAUUUGUCUUUCCAACGCGGCAAUCAGAUACGAAAUUGUUCCUUUCCAAGAGAAGGUUCAACUUUACUAAAGCAAAAUGGGAAAAAUUCUCUGAAACAUUGGAUCAAGAAGUUUCCCAGCUAGAACCUUGCCCUGAUUCAUACGAUAAAUUUGUAGAAAUCGUAAAGCAAGUAUCACGGAAAUUUAUCCCUAGAGGUUGUCGAACUGAGUACAUAGCGGGGCUCAAUGAAGAAUCUAAACCCCUACUUAAAAGAUACGAACAGCUAUAUGAAGAAGACCCUUUCUCGGAAGCGACAAUACAGGCUGGGGAGGAAAUGUUACAUGCGAUAUCCGCCAACAGAACGGAAAGAUGGUGCAAGCUGGUCAUGGGUCUGGACAUGAAACAA
rnacentral:lncRNA from 1 species